GAGGUCGAUGCGGGAGAGCCGGGAGCGCGAGAGCGCACAGCCGGCACCGAAGGAGCAAUCCUCCCCGACAAUCUCUCAGGUACGCGUACCGCAUCGGACUG
rnacentral:ncRNA from 2 species